UUGUCCUUUUUCCUAUUAUGUCCUCAUCUUUUCUAUAGGUUUCGUCUCUUCCCAGAUCUCUCUUCCCAGCGUCCUCCUCAGAACCAUCGAUCGAUCCAGAUCUUUCUUCCCAGCCUGGCAGCCUCCUCCUCAAAACCAUCGAUCGAUUUCGUUAAGAGCAUCUCUCUUCCCAGCCUCUUCCUCAAAACCAUCGGUUUCUAUAGAAAUCGAUCUCUCAAGAGGAUUCAAAACCCAAUUCGGUCGCUCCUCCGCCACACGCCUCAAACCCAAAGCAAACCAUUGAUCGAUCUCUCAAGAGGAUUCAAAACCCAACUCCGUCGCUCCUCCGCCACACGCCCCAAACCCAAAGCAUUCCCGGAUCGAUCUCUCUGUCUCUUCAAAACCCAACUCCUCAUGGAUGUUUUUUGGGACAUGAGUUGCUGGGCUUUGGUGUUUCUGAUUCUUGGAGCUAUUUGGUUGUUUUGACUAGUAUAUAGAACCGUUGAUUAGUAUAUAGAACCGUUGUUUAAAAAUCAUAUCUAUUGCUAACAUUGUAUUUCAGAUUUUCAAUUGGUCUUGGUUUUCAAUUAUUGUGUGGAUCAAGUUUAGUUCAAUAUGUCUUUUCUGUUUUAUGUGUAUUUUGGAAUUUUUUGCUCUUAAUUGAUUUCUCCUAUAGACAUUUUAUUGUUUUUUUGAGUUUGCUCAAUGCCUUUGUUCAUGUCCAGAUUCUAGGAAAUAAAUUGAUGGUUUGAUAUGAUUUUUGCCGUCUCAGACACAGAGAAGUUCUAUAUUGAAAGAACGUGAGAGUGAGGGAGAUAGAGAGAAGGGCUGCAGUAGAAUAGAAAGAAAGAAAUAAAUAGAAAGGAAACAAAAGAGAGAGAGAUGUAUAUUGAAAUGUAAUUGGAGGUGGUUGUGGUGUGUGUUUGGUGGAGGGAGAUAAUUGUGUGGUAGAUGUUGGUGUUGCAGAACCUUAUUUCAGAUUAGGUUGCUGCUCAGUUCAGCUUGUCUACUGUGAUGACCUGGUUGUUAUGGUUUUAGAAAGUGACUUGUUAAUUUGUUUGUGCUCUGUUGCCUCCUGUUUAAAUAAUCUAUUGGACUUCACCUUAACUUAAAGUUAAGUGAUGCCGUCUAUAAAGUAUACAACAAACAAAAUAGAUAUAGAUAUAUAUGUGUGAUUGUGUGUGUUCUUAUGUUUAGCUUAGUUCUUGUCAAGUUGGCUUUAGUUUCUGCAUUCUGUUGUUUUUGACCCAGUUUCAUUUUUACUAAAAACUGUAUAUUUCGGCUGGGUAUUUGUAGUUGGUGUCUUCAUGAAAGUUUCAGUGGACAUCUUAAAGAUCAUUUCAGAAUUGGAAUCUCAUAAAAAGGAUUUCUCUAGAUUAAAUUAUGAUUUUUCGAAGUUGAAGGUCUGCAUCAGGAAAUUCUGCGAAUUGUUUUUGACCCAGUUUCAUUUUUACUAAAAACUGUACAUUUCGGCUGGGUAUUUGUAGUUGGUGUCUUCAUGAAAGUUUCAGUGGACAUCUUAAAGAUUAUUUCAGAAUUGGAAUCUCAUAAAAAGGAUUUCUCUAGAUUAAAUUAUGAUUUUUCGAAGUUGAAGGUCUGCAUCAGGAAAUUAUGCGAAUUGUCACUGUUGCUGCUUGUUCCAUUUCAUAUCAGUAGUUUCCUUUAUUCAAACUUGUGUAGUCAACCACAAACUGAAUGUAGACAUUCUUAUCUUUUCAAUAAAACUUGUGACACCAUUUUCGGAGUUCAUUUGGGAUACUUAUGUCAUUGUGAAAUCAGUUUUUCGCAUCAUUGUUUGGCAGCCAUACCUUCACACAGCCAUCAAGGCUAGUAGCUCUUUAGAUUGUGGUCAACAUCUUUGCAAUUUAGCAAAGUCAGAUAUCAUUGUUUGUCUAAGCAUGUUUUGUCUUUAGAUGGAAAAGAAUAAAUCCACCAAUACCGAAACUGAGGGAUCUGGAAAACCAAGUGAAGAGACUAGUGAAGAGAUAGAGGAUAAUGAACAUGAUGGAGAUGGUCCAGGAAGACAAGAAAUGGAGGUGUUAAGAAAUGCAAUUGCACAAAGUCUAAUGAAUGCAUCUACUUAGCAUUUAGUUGCAAAUUUCAAGUGACUUUAAUAUAUUUUGUGUAAUGGUUCCCAUUGAAUUAUGGUCGGGAAAUUAAUCUAAAAAUUCUACAUGAGAUUUUGUGUAAUAGUAAAACAUAAUAUGCAUAUUGAAGGGUUUAAAGUAAAUCUUUCAUUCGGUCCAAUCAAGGGUACAAGAAUAAUACAUGAGAAUUUUUUUUUA